UGUCACUAUGCUAAAGGCCUAAGUCCUGUGUUGAGUGUUCUGUGGCUAAAUUCCAAGUGCCAACAGUGAACAGUAACACCUUUAAUCUUUAUUAAUUCUCCUCUUUUGGAAAUAUACUUACUUAUUUCUUUUUCUUAUGUAAAACCUCACUAUGAGAUUAGAAUAGUGAUCGUCGUUUAAUCACACUGCAUUAUAUAACGUACAUUCCAUAGAAAUAAAACAAUAUUUUAUGUUACUUAAGUUUUCAAAAUGAUGCAGUUCAUGCUUUUAUUUAGUCGACAAGGCAAAUUACGUCUUCAGAAAUGGUAUGUAGCUCAUCCUGAUAAAUUAAAAAAGAAGAUCACCAGAGAAUUAAUCACCACAGUAUUGGCCCGGAAACCAAAAAUGUGCUCAUUUCUGGAGUGGAAGGAUGUCAAAGUUGUAUAUAAAAGGUAUGCAUCAUUGUAUUUCUGCUGUGCUAUGGAGCAAGAAGAUAAUGAACUACUCACCUUAGAGCUUAUUCACAGAUAUGUUGAACUUCUUGACAAGUACUUUGGAAGUGUAUGUGAGUUGGAUAUAAUUUUCAACUUUGAGAAGGCCUAUUUUAUAUUGGAUGAGUUGGUGCUCGGUGGAGAGCUUCAGGAGACAAGCAAGAAGAAUGUGCUGAAGGCUAUUGCUGCUCAGGACUUAUUGCAAGAGGUCAGUAGUCAGGAUAAUGAACUUGUUUGAACAAUUGUUUGUAUCAUGAUCUGCAAAUAUGGUAUUUUUAACCAUCAAUUAUCAAGUGGUAAACAAAAAUUAACAUUAAAAUAAAUUGAAUUGGUUUCAACAUAAUAGUGCUAAUGUAUCAGAUCUGUUUUAUAAAUACCAUGUAUGUGGCUGACAAAAUGUAUGUUGUUGAUUGGAGAUUGAGAUGUUUUUGGAUAUGAAUAUUGUUUCUUCAAAUCUUUUGGGUUACUUAUAUGAUGAUGCAAAAUACUGUGGAGGAUAUCCAGGUAUAAUUUAAUAUUUUUUUAUUGGUAUCAACUAUCCAAGAGCGAGUAUACUGCAAUAGGAUAGGAUUAUUUGAUUAUUUAGAUAUUGUUCAGUUUUAUCAGUAUCUAUUUGUGUAAUUAUACAAAUUUUAAUUUACACAGAUAAUGUCUAUAAAGUUUGCACAGCUUAGCAAAAGUCAGAAACAGUCAAAUUAUAGAGUAGGUUUGUUUUGACAUAAAACUGUAAAUAGUAUGACAGACCAAUGUCUGGAAUAGAAACAUCCAUAUCAUAGUUAAUACAUAUCGGUUUAAAAUUAGAUGCUGUAGGCAAAAAAUGGAAAUGUGGACCAUGUUGUUAGUUAAGUGGCCUCGGUAGUGCCUUUUAGAUGUUUAAUUAUAGUAGGAGCACUGCCUUUUUAUAUUUAAUAUUACACUUCAAUUUCAAUAAUUGCCUAAAUUUCUAGAGGUCCAUAUUAGAAAUGCAAAUGAUGAUAAAUGAUUCAAAAUCAUAUAUUCAGGAAAGUAAAUGUCACGGUUAUUGUACUAUACAUUUACAAAAAAUAACUCCUAUUCUGUACUCUACUCCUACACUAAACACUAUAGGCUAGAUAAACCACAGACUAUUUAAUAUAGAAUAUAAAUUAAAUGUCUAUGAAUACCUGUCUUGCACUGCACAGCUAAUAAAUUCUUCUCUAUGAUGCAUGCUGGUGGUUCGCAGGACUUAAUCGACGGACUCUGGCACUAACGUCUAAAGGUUAUAAACGCUUUUUUAUAUAGAACAAAAUAUCAUCCCACAGUAGAUACCAUAGAGAUUGAAAAAAAAGCGUUUAUAUUAAUUGCUUUUUGCUUACCUAUCGCAUGAGCUUUAAACCAAUUUAUUGCAAAUUGUAUGAUAACAUUAAUUGAAAUUCAACUAUGCACUACUCAAAAUUUUGAUAUUUUCUGGUUUUCAAUGACCAAGUUAACACUAGAGAAGAGAACUUCCUCAAUACAUUAUACAUCCACAAAAUAGCAUUAGGAAUAUCUAGAAGCACCAUUAUGUAAUGAAGAAUAGAAUUUAAUACACACUAGAUAUAGUAAAUAUUUAUUAGUCCUCUCAUAACAGUCUCAAAAUAAUUCAUUCAUAGGUAGUUAAGUUGUAGUGAUCUUAAUAGUAAUUUUAAAUCUUUAAUACAUUCAGGUCUAAUCGAGCUUAUAUUAAGUAGACCAACUAUAUUGUAUUCUUUGAGGCUUUCUAUACUAAGUAUAUUUGUUAAGGUUCUGUCGAGUCGUUUGUGUAUUUGCUUAUCUUGUGUAGCUUAGUUAUAUCAUAUUAUUGUAUUUGUGACAUUGUUUUGCCUUUAUUGUUAGUAAAAUGGUAUUUCAAGGUUAUUUUUAAUUUAAUCUGCAUAUAAAAUUGUUUUCAUCACUUACUUACUACUAUUAAUAAGUGUUUCUUUAAAAGAAAGAUUAUUUAUUUGGAAAAAUAUUACUCAUAUUUAUAAUUAUUAUAAAUAUGAAGAUCUACUUUGGAGCUUCUUUGCAGAAGACAAAGUUAAUUAGUUAGUUUUGUGUGUUUCUCAGACAUUCGCUUGCAGUACAGUUACUAACGAUACAGUUAUCGUUAUUGCAAUCCAUAGAUAUAAUAUUUUUUUUUGUUAUUUUAAAUCUUGCCAAUCUUAUUUUAAGUAAGAAAAUAACAGUAAUUUAAUACAUAGCCACUAAAUACGUAUAUUUUAUAGAAUCUUGUUUGUGGCUCAUCUCCAGUAGAAUAGUUUACUACGCGAGAAUGCGGUUUUUAUGCUUGAAAUUAACCUUCUAAAAUGGAAAAUUGAAAUACCAUAAGUAUAAUAAGCGAAACAAUGUCGUUACUCAAUGGUGGAUGUUGCAUUUAUGUAAUGGGUUGUUUUAAAUAUAUCGUUGAGAACUAUAA